AUUGAACGCUGGCGGCGUGCCUAACACAUGCAAGUCGAGCGGUAACAGGUGUAGCAAUACAUGCUGACGAGCGGCGAACGGGUGAGUAAUGCUUCGGAAUCUACCCAAUGGUGGGGAAUAACCAGCCGAAAGGUUGGCUAAUACCGCAUACGUCCCACGGGAGAAAGCAGGGGAUCGCAAGACCUUGCGCCAAUGGAUGAGCCGAAGUCGGAUUAGCUAGUGGUAGGGUAACGGCCUACCAAGGCGACGAUCCGUAGCUGGUCUGAGAGGACGACCAGCCACACUGGGACUGAGACACGGCCCAGACUCCUACGGGAGGCAGCAGUGGGGAAUAUUGGACAAUGGGGGAAACCCUGAUCCAGCGACGCCGCGUGUGUGAAGAAGGCCUGCGGGUUGUAAAGCACUUUUAGUGGGGAUGAAAUGUUCAGGGUUAACACCUCUGGAUUUUGACCUAACCCACAGAAAAGCACCGGCUAACUCUGUGCCAGCAGCCGCCGUAAU
rnacentral:rRNA from 1 species